UAUCUUUUAAAAUACGACUACAGACUAAAAUGCAGAGUUCAUUAAAAUACAGAUGAUGACUGUGGUUCUCUGGUCUUCUCUUGACUCCUGUUGUCUACUAAGAUAAGAAGUCUGGGCUAGGCUGAAGAACUCAGAAUCCAGGUAUGGGGUUUCCCAGUACUGUACUCCCAUUUCUCAGUACUGUGCUCCAUCUCUCAGUACUGUGUGCUCCUGUUUCCCAGUACUGUGCUCCCAUUUCCCAGUACUGUGCUCCCAUUGCCCAACACUGUGCUCCCAUUUCCCAAUACUAUACUCCCAUUCCCUGGUACUGUGUGCUCCCAUUUCCCAGUACUGUGCUCCCAUUGCCCAACACUGUGCUCCCAUUUCCCAGUACUGUGUGCUCCAUUUCCCAGUACUAUGCUCCCAUUUCCCAGUACUAUGCUCCCAUUUCCCAGUACUGUGUGCUCCAUUUCCCAGUACUAUGCUCCCAUUGCCCAGUACUGUGCACCCAUUGCCCAAUACUGUGUGCUCCCAUUUCCCAGUACUGUGUGCUCCCAUUUCCCAGUAGUCUGCACUCCCAUUUCCCAGUACUGUGUGCUCUCAUUUCCCAGCACCGUGCUCCCAUUUCCCAGUACUAUGCUCCCAUUUCCCAAUACUGUGUGGUCCAAUUUCCCAGUACUGUGUGCUACCAUUUCCCAAUACUGUGUGCUCCCAUUUCGCAGCACUGUGCUCCCAUUUCCCUGUACUGUGUGCUCCCAUUUCCUAGGACUAUGCUCCCAUUUCUCACUACUGUGCUCCCAUUUCUCAGCACUGAGCUCCCAUUUCGCAGUACUGUGUGCUCUCAUUUCCUAGGACUGUGCUCCCAUUUCUCAGCACUGUGGUCCCAUUUCUCAGUACUGUGCCCACAGGUGUGAUCCAACGUCCCUGGCCCAUCAGCUCUUCUUGAGCAGCAAGAGGCCCUGCAGCUGGCUGGCUGGCUGGACAGCACAGUUAAGCAGGUGGCCGCAUCCUCUGCAGUUGCUGGCAGCCCACCAUCCUGGAGAUGUAACCCCUCCUGCCAGGCUUGUUCUUCUUUGGUUGUGAUGAAGAUGAUGACAGUGAUGG
rnacentral:lncRNA from 1 species